GAUGAACGCUGGCGGCGUGCCUAAUACAUGCAAGUCGAGCGAACAGAUAAGGAGCUUGCUCCUUUGACGUUAGCGGCGGACGGGUGAGUAACACGUGGGUAACCUACCUAUAAGACUGGAAUAACUCCGGGAAACCGGGGCUAAUGCCGGAUAACAUUUAGAACCGCAUGGUUCUAAAGUGAAAGAUGGUUUUGCUAUCACUUAUAGAUGGACCCGCGCCGUAUUAGCUAGUUGGUAAGGUAAUGGCUUACCAAGGCAACGAUACGUAGCCGACCGGAGAGGGUGAUCGGCCACACUGGAACUGAGACACGGUCCAUAAUACUACGGGAGGCAGCAGUAGGGAAUCUUGCGCAAUGGGCGAAAGCCUGACGGAGAAACGCCGCGUGAGUGAUGAAGGGUUUCGGCUCGUAAAACUCUGUUAUUAGGGAAGAACAAACGUGUAAGUAACUGUGCACGUCUUGACGGUACCUAAUCAGAAAGCCACGGCUAACUACGUGCCAGCCGCCGCCGUAACAC
rnacentral:rRNA from 1 species